UACGUAGGGUGCAAGCGUUGUCCGGAAUUAUUGGGCGUAAAGAGCUCGUAGGCGGUCUGUCGCGUCGGAUGUGAAAAUCCAGGGCUCAACCCUGGACCUGCAUUCGAUACGGGCAGACUAGAGUUCGGCAGGGGGAGACUGGAAUUCCUGGUGUAGCGGUGGAAUGCGCAGAUAUCAGGAGGAACACCGGUGGCGAAGGCGGGAUCCUGGGCCAGUACUGGACGCUGAGGCGCGAAAGCGUGGGGAGCAAACAGG
rnacentral:rRNA from 1 species